GACGAACGCUGGCGGCGUGCCUAAUACAUGCAAGUCGAACGCAGUGGGGACGGGUGAGUAACACGUGGGUAACCUCCCAUCAGAGGGGAUAACACUUGGAAACAGGUGCUAAACCGAUAUUGAUGUAUGGUCCCGCGGUGCAUUAGCUAGUGGGUGAGGUAACGGCUCACUAAGGCCACGAUGCAUAGCGGACCUGGGAGGGUGAUCGCCAACACUGGGACGGUGACACGGCCCAGAUGCCUACGGGAGGCAGAAGUAGGGAAUCUUCGGCAAGGGACGAAAGGCUGACCGAGCAACGCCGCGUGAGUGAAGAAGGUUUUCGGAUCGUAAAACUCUGUUGUUAGAGAAGCGGUAUCUAACCAGAAAGCCACGGCUAACUACGUGCCAGCCGCCGCGGUAAUUC
rnacentral:rRNA from 1 species